CUGCUCGCUAGUCCGGACGUUUCGCCACUCGACCAGCUUUCGUUCCGCUGUCAAUGACCAACGUUAGACCACCGUGGUCAAUUGCCUAGCUUUCGCAUCGGUUUACAAGUUUAAUUGCUCCAAUUACCAACGCUGCUUUUAACCGGACCGACCAAUUUCGUUUGGAAUCUUGUUCGAGCAGUGCCAUCGGAAUCUGUUGCUACGAGAUUAAUGACCGUCGUGCCAAUGGGAACGUCGUCAUCCAGCGUAAUCGGACGAGGAACUGACGUGAACACUGGUGGAAUGUCGUUAACGUCCUGAUGAAUAACAAAGGCAUUCGAGAAGGUUUGCGUACUUGGCGGAAAGGAGGACAAUACGUUGGAGAAGACGCGCAGCCAGCUGUUCCACGCAAUAUUCAAAUGAGCCACACCUGUAGCAGCAGCUGUUGCAGCGAUCCACGUUACCCUUGCGACCAGCAGAGAGAAAUCGAUCACGAGUUCAAGCAACUACGAAGAUAUUCGCCGUGUUAUCGUCUACACCUUCUAGAUUUCACAUAUUCCUGACAAUUUGAAAUAUAUAGCGUUUUAUACGUGACUCGAAAUUCGCGUAAGCGUCACAGCAAUUAUUUUCAGACGAAGUAAUUUCUUAAUAAGCAGGUUUCGUAUUUUCGGCCGUACGCUUACACGCGCCAUACGUCACGCCGAUGUCAGUGUCGGAGUUAAACGAUUCCGUUGAACGUGAUCCAUAAGUAAACGACCAACUUAUA